UACGUAGGGACCAAGCGUUGUUCGGAUUUACUGGGCGUAAAGGGCUCGUAGGCGGCCAACUAAGUCAGACGUGAAAUCCCUCGGCUUAACCGGGGAACUGCAUCUGAUACUGGAUGGCUUGAGUUCGGGAGAGGGAUGUGGAAUUCCAGGUGUAGCGGUGAAAUGCGUAGAUAUCUGGAGGAACACCGGUGGCGAAGGCGGCAUCCUGGACCGACACUGACGCUGAGGAGCGAAAGCCAGGGGAGCAAACGGG
rnacentral:rRNA from 1 species